AUCCAGCUGACGAGUCCCGAAUAGGGGAAACGCGCGUCCUGGAU
rfam:Schistosoma rodhaini strain Burundi genome assembly, scaffold: SROB_scaffold0015366